GCUUGUGUAAUUGUUCUCCAAAGCACAGCUUGGGCUGUCUAUCUGGGUCCAUGGAUAGGAUCUUCAGCCAAUAAUGAAAUAAUAAUUGCCAAAUGGCUUUUAUAUAGGGGUAUUCCCAACUGUGUUUCUUCUUCUGGGGCUGAUGUCGACUUAUCCUCUCCCCAAGGCAUCCAGACAACCACAAACUCAAUGAGAAUCCUAACAACCCCUUUGGCUGCACAAUGAAUAUGACUAACUAGCCCGUGAUUACAGAGCAUGGAGAACUCUCAUCAAACAACUCGUCCUCUGAAGAAUCCUCCAAGAACUAGGUCUGAUUCAGCAUUCCUUGCUCCAUCCAUUCACCAAAAGGAGGGAGAUGUGGGAGAGACUCCUACUACAGGACAUGGAUGAUAAUUCCUUCUUGUCAUGAUAGUUUUAAAGGGCAUCUCUCAAACUCCCUAAACAAGUUUUUCAGGAAGCACAGGGAACAAAAUGGAAGGGGAAAAGUCAAAUAACCUCUUCCUCACCACCAAAAAAUGUCUUAUGUGCAGAAUUCAUGAGAAUCCAGUUUUAGAGUCUGGAUCAAUCCAUCCACAUGCAUGUACAACACAUUCAUAAUCUGCUGUGCUAUUUUUAGCAGUAUUUUCCUGGGAAUGGCCACUUCUUAUGCUUUUGGGAAAAGAAAGCAGCCAAAUAUGUUGUACUGCAAAUCUCGCCAUACUUUGCCAUUGGCUCUGCUAGCUGACAUUGAUGGGUGUUGACAUCUAAAGCAUCGGAAAAGCACUUGCAGGCUAAUGUUCUAGAUAUUUUCUAGUAGCAGCACCUGCAGGGGAGAUCAAGGGUGGGACACAAUAACAAAAGUACCUUUGCACCUGUUAUGUAUUUGGACUUUAGGAGGGAAGUUUGGGUGGGAACAAGCACGUUGCUGAUUGGCUGAUCCUCAGCCAAAAUAGUAUUUAAAGAGGGGUUUUUGCCUGUUGGCUUUUGCUGGGUCACAAUAAACUAAAGAGCUG